AAAUAACCCAGCACAUGGCUUUUUUAAAUCAUCAGAAAAUUUGAGUGGAAAUCAAAUUUAAAACAAAUAUGCAGCGUGUUCUCACCUUUUUGGUUGGCGGCAUUAUUGGUUUCCUUAUCGCCAAAAAUACCAGAUAGAGUGAGAAUCAUUCAUCUAUUGGUUUCAAUAAUCUGGCACGCCACAAGAGGCACUAUUCACGGAGUUACUUUCAAAUAAAUUUGGAAAGCAAAUAUGACUCAUGUCAUAUCAUUUGCCUUGGGCAUUCUGAUCGGAAUGUUAAUGUGUCGGCGGUGCAAUCCUUAGCUCUGGCUGGCAUUUGACAAAAUAGAUUCAAUAAUAGCGCCCUCAAAAUCAAUUGUAUUAUAAUAAACUUAACAGAAAAUAUACAUAUAUGCAUAUAACAAAAAUAUUAGUUGAACAUAAA